UUUUUUUCUCAGUGGUCAAAACCUCUAUAUAACACUUAUGUUUAUUUAAUAAAUUUAAUAAUUAUUGCACAGCUUUCGAUUCGAAAUCCCAAGAGGACGCGUGAAUGAAACAAAUUUGGUCUCAAAAUGCGUUGUUUUUUCUAAAGGAAAAGAUGUUUAAUUGAAUAGGAUUUAAAUAUUUUUUCUUCUUUUCAGACACAGUCGACAACAGCCGACGAAGACCAACAUGAGUAAUAUGCGUUACAUUAUUUUCAUGUUCGGCACACUUUAUACUUGAAAUGUGAAUUUAUGAUAUUUGAUAAUUAUUUGUAUAUAUGUAUAAGGGG